AUUGGAUUGAAUAGCGCGAUAUGCUGUUUAUAUAUUUCACAUGUUUUACUGUAUUUCUUAUCGAGGAGCUUGAUCAUUAAUUUUUACUAUUUAAUUUAGAUUUUCUGCCUUGGUUGAAGACUUAUUUUCUUUUAAAGAAAGUGCGAAACUUGCACACACAUUCACACAGGUACACACACAUACACAUGCACACAUACACACAUAUACACACACUCUAUGCAUACACACACAUACACACACACUGUAUACACACACUCACACACAUACAAACACACACACAGAUACACAAACAGACUCUGAACACACGCAUACACACACAUACACACACUCUCUAAACACACACUGUAAACACACACACACACACACACACACACACACUCUCCCUCCCUCUGUCUGUCAGCUGUUAGGCAGUGUAAAGCCUUGGCGUGUGUUCAGGAGGGAAGCGGAGAUCGCUGUUGCUCGGCUCAGAAGGAGACAGCCCCCAAACCUCACACCCUGCCACAGCUCAACCGGGAGCACCCCCACCUUUUUCUCCAGAUUUUUCCAACUCCCCCAAAAAGGUUUAUUUUGAGUGCAGAAACUCCUGGGAAAGAGGGGGGCGCUGGAGUGUGUGCGGCAGCCCGGAGCGGGCCGGCGGGACCGACCGCGGAGCAGCACGAUGCAGACUGCCCGUCUCACGGCUCAUCCCCUCUGUACGGGCCAGGAGAGAGAUGGGGAGGGCAGAAUGGCUGCGCUGUAUUUCGGGUAACAGUUCCCUAUUGUGUGCCGGGCUGUCCUGCCUAUGUUCUUAGCGUGUUUAUGUGUUCUUAGUCUGUUUACCUUGCGUGUUCCUAGUCCGUUUACAUGCGUGUUCCUGGCCUGUUUUGUUGUGACAUUGGCUUGUGCGCGUGAGGGUUGUGUUUGUUCCGGGGUCUGUGCGCGUGAGGGUUGUGUUUGUUUCGGGGUCUGUGCGCGUGAGGGUUGUGUUUGUUUCGGGGUCUGUGCGCGUGAGGGUUGUGAAUGGCGCAGUUGUUUUCCGGACGGCGGGGUGCAGAUUCGGGCCCGGGGACGGGCCAUAAACGGGUUAAUCUGCCCGUGCGUUUGGGAGCCGCUGAUUUGGCGUUUAGAUCGUUAGCUUCCUCCCCCCGCUCCACCGUGCCUGCUGCUGUGCCCUCGCUGCAGGACGGGAGGUGAGUCUCUCUCUCUCUCUCUCUCUCUCUCUUUUCACGCUCUUCCUCUCUUCUAUCACUCUUUUUAAACUUGAGAAGUUUUACAGCUCUCAAGGGCGGUAGGAGGGGAGAGUAAAACCCUUGCCUUUUCUCUCUUUCUCUCCUUCUGCCUCUCUUUCUCUCCUUCUGCCUCUCUUUCUCUCUGUCCUCCCUCCUCACCCCUGUCUCUCUCUUUUCAUUGGAAGCGCAUAAACACACACUCACACACACACACACACACACUCACACACACAGUCCUUUCUGGUUUUACAUUUUUUGCUUACUUAUAUUAAUGCUGUGUGUGAGUGUGUGUGUGUGUGUGUGUGUGUGUGUGAGUGUGUGUGUGUGUGUGUGUGUGUGUGUGUGUGAGUGUGUGUGUGUGUGUGAGUGUGUGUGUGUGUGUGUGUGUGUGUGUGUGUGUGUGUGAGUGUGUGUGUGUGUGUGUGUGUGUGUGUGUGUGUGUGUGUGUGUGCGUGUGUGUGUGUGUGUGUGUGUGUUGUACACCUGUAUGUUCCCCUGGUCAUUGAUCAUUUGCUUGUGACCGGUAGAUCAUGUCGUAUUAGACUAUGGUCAUGAUUAAGUUAAUUUUUGAUUAAUAAUGAAACUUGCCCGCUUGUUAAAAACAAAAUGAGUUGAUGUGUUCCAAAGUGCGACAUUGACUUAUGUGUCCAUGGCUUUGCGGUUUAAUUAAAUUAGGAAAUGUGAAUACAUAAAUAUUACGUGUUGUAAAGUAAUACCAUGUAUUCCCAUGAUAUAAUUUUUACACUGUAUUUUUGAUGUUUGUCUGUAAUUUCUUUUUUACAAUAUGGCUCACUUCUCAGUGCAAGGCUUUGGGCGUGGUGUUCUUCAGAGCAGUGUUAUUUUAAAGUGUUAUUUUUAAGCAGUAAUUCAAAGUGGGAAAAACCCCAGUAAGUGAUGUACAUUAUUACUGCUGCCUUGUUAAUUAGAUUAUUUCAUUUUUAUCAUUCAUUGUUUAAUUCUAUGGCAACAUUGGCGUGUUUGUGCUGUUUGUGGGUGUUUGUGUGUGCUUUGUAAAUUUUUAUUGGUGCGAUCAGGCCUUGUUUUACUUGUGUUCGAUUUUGCGUCAUAUUCGGCAUUUUGUCAUAUUCGGCAUUUUGUAAUAUUCGCCAUUUUGUGCUCUAAGUUUGUGGGGGUUUUAUUAUUUUUUUACUCAAUCACAAUUCCACUUUCAAAGGUGUUUUUUUUUCUUGCUUCAAAUAAAUAGUAAAAACUAAAAAGUUAAGUAGGAUCUGGUGUAACCAGCCCUGUACAUCCCUGCUUUUCUCACUUCACUGAAAUGAAUGAACUUCAGAAGGAUCUGGAGAUGCACUCAUUUAAGUUUGUGUUACACUUUACUAUUAAUAAUAAAAAAUUCUUCAUAAAAAAAAAAUUUUCCCCCUCUUUUUAGAGGAUCAUAAAUUAUAAUUAGAUUCAAAUUCAUACUGAACCUGAAUAAUGUAAAAACUUCAUAAAAAUUUAAAUUUUGAUAUUA